rnacentral:rRNA from 1 species
GAUGAACGCUGGCGGCGUGCCUAAUACAUGCAAGUCGAGCGAACGGACGAGAAGCUUGCUUCUCUGAUGUUAGCGGCGGACGGGUGAGUAACACGUGGAUAACCUACCUAUAGGACUGGGAUAACUUCGGAAAACCGGAGCUAAUACCGGAUAAUAUUUUGAACCGCAUGGUUCAAAAGUGAAAGACGGUCUUGCUGUCACUUAUAGAUGGAUCCGCGCUGCAUUAGCUAGUUGGUAAGGUAACGGCUUACCAAGGCAACGAUGCAUAGCCGACCUGAGAGGGUGAUCGGCCACACUGGAACUGAGACACGGUCCAGACUCCUACGGGAGGCAGCAGUAGGGAAUCUUCCGCAAAGGGCGAAAGCCUGACGGAGCAACGCCGCGUGAGUGAUGAAGGUCUUCGGAUCGUAAAACUCUGUUAUUAGGGAAGAACAUAUGUGUAAGUAACUGUGCACAUCUUGACGGUACCUAAUCAGAAAGCCACGGCUAACUACGUG